GAUGCUGACGAGCGGCGGACGGGUGAGUAAUGCAUAGGAAUCUGCCCGAUAGUGGGGGAUAACCUGGGGAAACCCAGGCUAAUACCGCAUACGUCCUACGGGAGAAAGGGGGCUCCGGCUCCCGCUAUGGGAUGAGCCUAUGUCGGAUUAGCUAGUUGGUGAGGUAACGGCUCACCAAGGCCACGAUCCGUAGCUGGUCUGAGAGGAUGAUCAGCCACAUCGGGACUGAGACACGGCCCGAACUCCUACGGGAGGCAGCAGUGGGGAAUAUUGGACAAUGGGGGAAACCCUGAUCCAGCCAUGCCGCGUGUGUGAAGAAGGCCCUCGGGUUGUAAAGCACUUUCAGCGAGGAAGAACGCCUAGCGGUUAAUACCCGCUAGGAAAGACAUCACUCGCAGAAGAAGCACCGGC
rnacentral:rRNA from 1 species